GGUGAACCUGCGGAAGGAUCAUUACCGAGUGCGGGCUGCCUCCGGGCGCCCAACCUCCCACCCGUGACUACCUAACACUGUUGCUUCGGCGGGGAGCCCCCCAGGGGCGAGCCGCCGGGGACCACUGAACUUCAUGCCUGAGAGUGAUGCAGUCUGAGCCUGAAUACAAAUCAGUCAAAACUUUCAACAAUGGAUCUCUUGGUUCCGGCAUCGAUGAAGAACGCAGCGAACUGCGAUAAGUAAUGUGAAUUGCAGAAUUCAGUGAAUCAUCGAGUCUUUGAACGCACAUUGCGCCCCCUGGCAUUCCGGGGGGCAUGCCUGUCCGAGCGUCAUUGCUGCCCUCAAGCCCGGCUUGUGUGUUGGGUCGUCGUCCCCCCCGGGGGACGGGCCCGAAAGGCAGCGGCGGCACCGUGUCCGGUCCUCGAGCGUAUGGGGCUUUGUCACCCGCUCGAUUAGGGCCGGCCGGGCGCCAGCCGGCGUCUCCAACCUUAUUUUUCUCAGGUUGACCUCGGAUCAGGUAGGGAUACCCGCUGAACUUAAGCAUAUCAAUA
rnacentral:misc_RNA from 1 species